UAUUCAUAGCACUUGUAGCCGCCAUAGAAAUAAGAUGAAUGAGAUCUCACGAGACUUAACACACCAAACGAGACUCAGAAGAUCUCGUUGAAACAAUGGCGUCAGUUUCAGGCAUUGUCAUGAAGCUGAGAAUAUUUUUCUCUCUUCUUGGCAUUUUGGUCGGAUUAUCAGUGGUUUUUGUCUUUGGAAUUAAAUUCCACAACUGGAAUACUGCUCUGUGGGGCCUUCUAUCAGCUAUCCCUGCCUCAUUAACAUUCUCUCUUCACAUAUGUUACCUGAAAGGUGUUUGGCAAACUUAUCCGUAUCGACUCAAAUAUAUGGUCAUCACAGGAUGUUUCUUCCAGUUGGCAGGAAUUAUUGGUUUCGUCACUUAUCUGGCAUUGGGAUUCUAUUUUCAACAAGGUUUACAGAUUUACGGGAAUGGUUACUUCCUGACCACAGUUUGGUGCUUCAUGACCUGGAAAUGGGGUCUCCUGCUCUUGUACUUCACUCGAUCGUAUCGUCAAUUACUCUGUGAUGUUUACACUAUUUUGCCAACAGAAGCGCCACCUUUGAACGGUGAUGAUUGAGAUGGAAACAGAUUGAAGACAUAUCAAGUGGAAUCAUUAAGAACCAAAGUUGUGGCAUUCAUGGAGUGUUCCAGUAAGAUUUUAAAGAGUUGUUGGUGAAAGCAAAUCAUCCUUGUUGAAUUUCAACUGUUGUGUUGUAAUGGACCAAUGACCAGGGACUGCCCUUACAGCGCUGCUAUCACCAAUAUUUCCGCUGUCUCAGACACUGUUGUAUUUCUUUGUGCUUGCCUGUGAGAUGGUUUUGUGAUGCUCUGUGAAAAUAUUUCUUCCAGUCCAUGAAAACAUGCUAAAUGUUGGUGUCAUUGGUAAUCCUUGGACAAGAUUCUUGGAUGCACAAUAUCUGCCUUCUGGCAGAAACGUCAGCACGCCGGGCAAAAUGCUUAGCGGUAUUUCGUCUGUCUUUACAUUCUGAGUUCAAAUUCUGCCAUGGUUGACUUUGCCUUUCAUCCUUUCGGGGUCGAUAAAUUAAGUACCAGUUGUGUACUGGGGUCAAUCUAUUCGACUUGCCCCCCCCCCCUCCUCCAAAAUUUCAGGCCUUGUACCUACAGUAGCAAAGAAUAUCUGCCUUCUGGUGGUCUGGUUCCUGACACAGCUUGCCUGUUUGUUCUGUGGUAUUUGCCAUUCUGUUCACUUUCACUGACCAACAUAACCAGAAUGGUACGGUUAAUAUGGCAUUCUGUUACAGCUCAAAGUUUCCUUUCUUAGGAAUCAUGGCAAACCAGGACUUUGUCUUUGAUGUGAAUUAUUUUUGAUAUUUACUAAAUGUUGUUGGUUGUGAGAACUGAUCAUGGCUUCUUUCCUCUUAACUGGAAUAAUAUUGAUACCAGUUAAUUUCAGCUUUUUCAGAGAUUUUACCAUUGUUGUAACCACCUUGUUCAAGACUGGAUUACUCUUGUCUUCAAAAUCAGUGUCAGGACCGAGAAGUGUCUUGUGACUUCCUGAUUAUAGCUUCAAAUAGAACUUAGCUUACCAUUCCAGAAGUGCAUAGCUAACAUAUCGGCAAACACUCAUCAGGUUAGGCAAUUGUUUCUACACUGGCUUAAAACAUGUCUUCCACACCACUUUUUAUUGAAUUAUGAACUCCUUUUUUCUGGAUGGAUAGGAAAAGUUUGAUUCUUCAUGUAUUAUCUUUCUCUCCUGUGAAAUGUCCUUUGAACAUGUCAUGUAUUUCUAAAAUUUCAAGAUCUUGUUAAAACUUUCCCACCAGUUUCAAAAUGAAUCCAUGUUAUUUUUAGAUAGUUCACUUUGUGUCUAACAAACUGAGAAUUGGAGCAAAUCACGUGUGUGUGUGUGUGUGUGUGUGCGUGUGUGUGUGCGUGUGUGUGUGCGUGUGCGUGUGCGUGUGUGUGUGUGUGCGCGUGCGUGUGUGCGUGUGUGUGUGCGUGCGUGCGCGCGCGCGCGUGUAACCAUAGAGCAACUGAUUUAUAAAUGUACAAGUGGAAAUUUGAAUGUUAUUGCAGUUAAUUAAAAGCUUUGUAAACCCAUCAUAUUCUGUAAAUCAAUUAAAUUGACUAAUUAAUGAAUCUUCAUUGAGGGUUUGUCUUUUAAUAGUUUGAACAAUAUCUUUCAACUUGGUUCGUCAUUAUUAUUAUUAUUAUUAUCUUAAGGCAGAGAGAGGCUGGCAGAAUCAUUAGCAUACUGGGCAAAAUGCUUAGUGGUAACAUUCAGUAUCUCCUGAGUUCUCAAGAUUUCUUAAAACAAUCUAAUUAGUAAUUAGUUUGUAUUUAAUAUUCGCCCUUUUAUUUUUGUCAAUGUAGAGUUUUGUUAGCUGAAGGAUACCCAGUUCAUUCUUGUCACGGUUGACUGCCUUUCAUUUUCUGUCAGUUUCAACAUGUCAUCGUUGCUGUCCCUAUCAAAUGAAAAUUCAAAAUGGAACAAGAAUGAAAGACGGAAAGCCUCCCGUCAGCCAUGAGAUCCAGAUUACAGACUUUAAAUGCACCAAAACUACACUUGUAAUCUGGGUCUCUAUGGCUGACAAGGAUUUCCAUCUAUUUUUGCCUUUUAGUCUUUCUCCAUCUAAUCGUUUCCAAUGUUCCGCUUUGAUUUUUUUUUUUUUCUUUUGAAGUUUGUAGCCCUCACACCAUCUCAACAUUUUCGCAUAUAUGUGUGCUAGUGUGGCUGUGUCGUAAGGAGUUUGCUUCCCAACCAUAUGGCUCUGAGUUCAGUCCCACUGUGUGGCAUCUUGGGCAAGUGUCUUCUAUGACAUCCUGGGGCUGACCAAAGCUUUGUAAGUGGAUUUGAUAGACAAAUUGAAAGUGUGUGUGUGUGUGUGUAUUCAUGAGGAAGCUCAGCAGGAUUUUCUUCUUUAUAUUCCAAAUAAAAAAUUCUCUCAAAAUUCUAGUUUGCUUUAUUUGAGAUCCUUGUGUAAGAGUGACCUGUACAUUACAUCAAAUUAUAAAAGAAAAUCAUGCAAAAUGGAAAUGCUCCUCUCCAAAUUGCAGCCAAAAGUUGAAAAUGGGAGCUCCAGUUCUUGCUACCCAACCAAAUAUAAUCGAAACCUAUUAAGUGGUGGCACUACUGUUCCAAGACACUGCUAUUUCUUCUGUUGGUCAAUAUGUCCAUGUUGAUGACUCCUUCCAUCCAGGCUGUAGUUGCAGUAUUCAAAGACAGCAGCUGUUGCAAUAUAAUAUUUGUGUUAGUGAAAGACAUGGAAAUGCCACUACGACUGUUUUGUUGUGUUGCUGAUAAUUAAAAAUGGUUUGUUUGAUUAAUUGUGAAGUGUAAUGAAAAUUAAAAUUUCUUUAAAUUCUUGA